GUAAGAGCUUGCUCUUACGGGUGGCGAGUGGCGGACGGGUGAGGAAUGCAUCGGAAUCUACUCUGUCGUGGGGGAUAACGUAGGGAAACUUACGCUAAUACCGCAUACGACCUACGGGUGAAAGCAGGGGAUCUUCGGACCUUGCGCGAUUGAAUGAGCCGAUGCCCGAUUAGCUAGUUGGCGGGGUAAGAGCCCACCAAGGCGACGAUCGGUAGCUGGUCUGAGAGGAUGAUCAGCCACACUGGAACUGAGACACGGUCCAGACUCCUACGGGAGGCAGCAGUGGGGAAUAUUGGACAAUGGGCGCAAGCCUGAUCCAGCCAUACCGCGUGGGUGAAGAAGGCCUUCGGGUUGUAAAGCCCUUUUGUUGGGAAAGAAAAGCAUUCGGUUAAUACCCGAUUGUUCUGACGGUACCCAAAGAAUAAGCACCGGCUAACUUCGUGCCAGCAGCCGCGGUAAUACGAAGGGUGCAAGCGUUACUCGGAAUUACUGGGCGUAAAGCGUGCGUAGGUGGUUGUUUAAGUCUGUCGUGAAAGCCCUGGGCUCAACCUGGGAAUUGCGAUGGAAACU
rnacentral:rRNA from 1 species